UACGUAGGGCGCAAGCGUUAUCCGGAAUUAUUGGGCGUAAAGAGCUCGUAGGCGGUUUGUCGCGUCUGCUGUGAAAACCCGAGGCUCAACCUCGGGCCUGCAGUGGGUACGGGGCAGACUAGAGUGCGGUAGGGGAGAUUGGAAUUCCUGGUGUAGCGGUGGAAUGCGCAGAUAUCAGGAGGAACACCAAUGGCGAAGGCAGAUCUCUGGGCCGUAACUGACGCUGAGGAGCGAAAGCAUGGGGAGCGAACAGG
rnacentral:rRNA from 1 species